CCUCUACACAACAUCAAAGUCAGCGCCUUUGUGCGGCGUCAAGUCCUCCUCCUCUGCACUGAGUAAUUGGAACAAAACGACCCAGCUUCAAAACUGAGCAAGAGGGAAAGGAAAAAUCACCAGCCUAGCUUUCUUUGUGAACCGGCUGCCUCCCCUUGCAGGGUGUGGUGACAGGUAUGGGCUUACAGCCUUUAAGGAGUGAAGAGUCAGCCCGGGAACACCGAUAAGGAUGGGGAGACCAAGAAGAGGACUGGAGGUCAGGGGAGAGAUCCGAGGUGGUACACAAAUGCAAGCCCUGGCCCACAGCAAGGCCCCCCCGGUCCACGGAGCAAUGAGCGAGGUCAGAGGGGCACUGAUCCAACACCUGCGAUGACUUGACCAUUAAGGUCACGAUGGAGGGGCUAGACAUCCUAUUGCCUCCAAGGAAUCAUUUCCUUUCUUUAGGCUAGUAGACUAAAGAUGUUUGUUUAUAAAUAAUAGAGCAACAAAGAAAGGAAUCCACACUUAGUAAACAGAGCUAAAACAGGAAGCCUCAGAGGCUGAGCAGCUGAAGUCCUGGGACUUUCCAGAAGAAAGGCACAUACCGUCCCCCCAUUCUGGGAGGGAUCUCAGAGAUCACAGCCAAUGUGACCCAAGGACAGGGCGGUGGCAUGCACCACAGCUGUAAAAUAGUAUGUGCAACAUAAUAGAAGAUAUAUAUUGGUCUCUGCCCCCAGUUCCUGGCACAGAGCUCCUGAAACCCUUGACGUUUCCCAAGAAAUAAGAACGUCAGGAGCAUCUCUUGUUCUAAUACAGGUCAUUGACCUCUUUUCCCAGCACAGGGCUCCUAAAACCCUUGUAACUGCAUAACUGACCUAUGUUUCCAACAUGGGGCUCCUAAAACCCUUGUAACUGAGUAAUAGGAGCAUCUUUUAUUCUAAUGAGGGAAUGCUGGGUAGGCUCUUAGAUGAGGACUGGUCACCAGAAACAACCAGCCAUGAUUAGAAGUUUGUGAUUUUUAACUGCAACCCCUAUUCUCUUGAGAAAGGAGAAAGAAUGAAAAUGGAGUGAAUGAUAAAUCAUGCCUACAUGAUGAAGCCUCCACAGUGUCAGAGUUGAGUUGAAC
ensembl:lncRNA